AUCGAACGCUGGCGGCAAGCCUAACACAUGCAAUUCGAACGAGUGGCGGACGGGUGAGUAAUGUCUGGGAAACUGCCUGAUGGAUGGGGCUAACUACUGGAAACGUUAGCUAAUACCGCAUACCAUCGGAUGUGCCCAGAUGGGAUUAGCUCGUCGGUGGGGUAAAGGCUCACCUAGGCGACGAUCCCUAGCUGGUCUGAGAGGAUGACCGGCCACACUGGAACUGAGACACGGGCCAGAAUCCUACGGAAGGCAGCAGUGGGGAAUAGUGCACAGUGGGCGCAAGCCUGAUGGAGCCAUGCCGCGUGUAUGAAGAAGGCCAUCGGGUUGUAAAGUACUUUCAGCGGGGAGGCGUUACCCGCAGAAGAAGCACCGGCUAAAUCCGUGCCAGCAGCCGCGGUAAGAC
rnacentral:rRNA from 1 species